CUACCCCUCCUUCCCUCACCCAACCACCAGGCAUCACUUCCCAUUUCUAUUUCUGGGCCAGGGCUGCUGUCAGAGGGAGGCUCUAACCCAGCAGGCUGCAGAAAGGACCCACAGGCCAGUGAUCAGGGGCUCGGCUCAGCGCGAAGGCAGGACAAUGGCCAGGGACAAUAUCUAUGGGAACAUGCCGAUGACGGAAGCUGCUCCCCAGCCCAAAGGAAACCCUUCCAAGACAUCGGUCCCUUGGCGGCACACGGCAGGAGGCAUCGUCACUGCUGUCCUUCUCCUCCUGGGUCUGGCCCUGGCCACGUCCCUCCUUGCUGUGACACUUCUAUACUAACACGGCUACC